GACGAACGCUGGCGGCGUGCCUAAUACAUGCAAGUCGAGCGAGCUUGCCUAGAUGAAUUUGGUGCUUGCACCAAAUGAAACUAGAUACAAGCGAGCGGCGGACGGGUGAGUAACACGUGGGUAACCUGCCCAAGAGACUGGGAUAACACCUGGAAACAGAUGCUAAUACCGGAUAACAACACUAGACGCAUGUCUAGAGUUUAAAAGAUGGUUCUGCUAUCACUCUUGGAUGGACCUGCGGUGCAUUAGCUAGUUGGUAAGGUAACGGCUUACCAAGGCAAUGAUGCAUAGCCGAGUUGAGAGACUGAUCGGCCACAUUGGGACUGAGACACGGCCCAAACUCCUACGGGAGGCAGCAGUAGGGAAUCUUCCACAAUGGACGCAAGUCUGAUGGAGCAACGCCGCGUGAGUGAAGAAGGGUUUCGGCUCGUAAAGCUCUGUUGGUAGUGAAGAAAGAUAGAGGUAGUAACUGGCCUUUAUUUGACGGUAAUUACUUAGAAAGUCACGGCUAACUACGUGCCAGCAGCCGCGGUAAUACGUAGGUGGCAAGCGUUGUCCGGAUUUAUUGGGCGUAAAGCGAGUGCAGGCGGUUCAAUAAGUCUGAUGUGAAAGCCUUCGGCUCAACCGGAGAAUUGCAUCAGAAACUGUUGAACUUGAGUGCAGAAGAGGAGAGUGGAACUCCAUGUGUAGCGGUGGAAUGCGUAGAUAUAUGGAAGAACACCAGUGGCGAAGCGGCUCUCUGGUCUGCAACUGACGCUGAGGCUCGAAAGCAUGGGUAGCGAACAGG
rnacentral:rRNA from 1 species